rnacentral:rRNA from 1 species
UACGAAGGGGACUAGCGUUGUUCGGAAUCACUGGGCAUAAAGCGCACGUAGGCGGCCAAGUCAGUCAGGUGUGAAAUACCUCGGCUCAACCGAGGAACUGCGCCUGAUACUGCUUGGCUUGAGGUCCGGAGGGGAGAGUGGAAUUCCCGGUGGAGCGGUGAAAUGCGUAGAGAUCGGGAGGAACACCUGUGGCGAAGGCGGCCGACUGGGCCGACCCUGACGCUGAGGCGCGACAGCAUGGGGAGCAAACAGG